CAAGGAAUCUUCCGCAAUGGGGGCAACCCUGACGGAGCAACGCCGCGUGGGGGAUGACGCCCUUCGGGGUGUAAACACCUUUUCUGCGGGAAGAAGGGCGGGGGCAACCGCGCCUUGACGGUACCGCAGGAAGAAGGACCGGCUAACUACGUGCCAGCAGCCGCGGGAAUACGUAGGGUCGGAGCGUUGUCCGGAGUUACUGGGAGUAAAGCGCGCGUAGGCGGCGGUGCGGGCCGGGCGUGAAAGCCCCCGGCUCAACCGGGGAGGGUCGUCGGGGACCGCACCGCUGGAGGGCGGUUGGGGUUGGUGGAAUGCCUGGUGUCGUGGUGCACUGCGUAGAGAUCAGGCGGAACACCCGUGGUGAAGGCGGCCAGCUGGGCCGUCCCUGACGCUGAGGCGCGAAGGCGUGGGGAGCGAACGGG
rnacentral:rRNA from 1 species